GGCCCCAUCGUCUAGUCAGGUCCAGGACAUCAGGUUUUCAUCCUGAGAACAGGGGUUCGAAUCCCCUUGGGGUCA
rnacentral:tRNA from 2 species